UACCUGUGAUUGCAGCGAGAGAGAGAAAAAACGACAAGCAUACACUGAUCCACUAAAGAUCAGCCAGAGACAGGUGAACACCUGAUCCCUAAAGUGAUGGCACGAAGAAGCCUCCGCCUGCAGGAGUCAGGCUAUUAUAGGGAAGACGGAGCUCCAAAUAUUUCAUAUAAAGAGACCUCAUACAAGGUCUUCCGUCGGAGAAAACAUAGGAGACGAGGUCCCUUUAUGAACCCUCGCAUACAGCAAA